rnacentral:rRNA from 1 species
GAUGAACGCUGGCGGCGUGCCUAAUACAUGCAAGUCGAGCGAACAGACGAGUAGCUUUCUCCUCUGACGUUAGCGGCUGACGGGUGAGUAACACGUGGAUCACCUACCUCUAAUACUUGGAUAACUUCGUGAAACCGGAUCUACUACCGGCUAAUAUAUUGAACCGCAUGUUUCAAUAGUUCAAGACUGUUUUGCUGUCACUUAUAGAUGGAUCCGCGCCGCAUUAGCUAGUUGGUAAGGUAACGGCUUACCAAGGCGACGAUGCGUAGCCGACCUGAGAGGGUGAUCGGCCAAACUGGAACUGAGACACGGUCCAGACUCCUACGGGAGGCAGCAGUAGGGAAUCUUCCGCAAUGGGCGAAAGCCUGACGGAGCAACGCCGCGUGAGUGAUGAAGGUCUUCGGAUCGUAAAACUCUGUUAUUAGGGAAGAAAAAAUGUGUAAGUAAAUAUGCACGUCUUGACGGUACCUAAUCAGAAAGCCACGGCUAACUACGUG